CUACGGGUGGCUGCAGUGGGGAAUAUUGCACAAUGGAGGAAACUCUGAUGCAGCAACGCCGCGUGGAGGAUGACACUUUUCGGAGCGUAAACUCCUUUUAUAUAGGAAGAAGAUGACGGUACUAUAUGAAUAAGCGCCGGCUAACUCCGUGCCAGCAGCCGCGGUAAUACGGAGGGCGCAAGCGUUACUCGGAAUCACUGGGCGUAAAGGACGCGUAGGCGGGUUGGAAAGUCAGGUGUGAAAUCCUACAGCUUAACUGUAGAACUGCACUUGAAACUUCUAAUCUAGAGUAUGGGAGAGGUAGAUGGAAUUUCUGGUGUAGGGGUAAAAUCCGUAGAGAUCAGAAGGAAUACCGAUUGCGAAGGCGAUCUACUAGAACAUUAUUGACGCUGAGACGCGAAAGCGUGGGGAGCAAACAGGAUUAGAUACCCUGGUAGUC
rnacentral:rRNA from 1 species